rnacentral:rRNA from 1 species
GCUUGCUUCUUUGCUGACGAGUGGCGGACGGGUGAGUAAUGUCUGGGAAACUGCCUGAUGGAGGGGGAUAACUACUGGAAACGGUAGCUAAUACCGCAUAACGUCGCAAGACCAAAGAGGGGGACCUUCGGGCCUCUUGCCAUCGGAUGUGCCCAGAUGGGAUUAGCUAGUAGGUGGGGUAACGGCUCACCUAGGCGACGAUCCCUAGCUGGUCUGAGAGGAUGACCAGCCACACUGGAACUGAGACACGGUCCAGACUCCUACGGGAGGCAGCAGUGGGGAAUAUUGCACAAUGGGCGCAAGCCUGAUGCAGCCAUGCCGCGUGUAUGAAGAAGGCCUUCGGGUUGUAAAGUACUUUCAGCGGGGAGGAAGGGAGUAAAGUUAAUACCUUUGCUCAUUGACGUUACCCGCAGAAGAAGCACCGGCUAACUCCGUGCCAGCAGCCGCAGUAAUACGGAGGGUGCAAGCGUUAAUCGGAAUUACUGGGCGUAAAGCGCACGCAGGCGGUUUGUUAAGUCAGAUGUGAAAUCCCCGGGCUCAACCUGGGAACUGCAUCUGAUACUGGCAAGCUUGAGUCUCGUAGAGGGGGGUAGAAUUCCAGGUGUAGCGGUGAAAUGCGUAGAGAUCUGGAGGAAUACCGGUGGCGAAGGCGGCCCCCUGGACGAAGACUGACGCUCAGG